rnacentral:rRNA from 1 species
AGUUUGAUCCUGGCUCAGGACGAACGCUGGCGGCGUGCCUAAUGCAUGCAAGUCGCACGCACUCGCUUCGGCGGGUGAGUGGCGCACGGCUGAGUAACACGUGGGAACCCGCCCCCCGGUGGGGGAUAACGCGACGAAAGUCGCGCUAAUCCCGCAUACGUCCGCAGGGGGAAAGCGCUUCGGCGCGCCGGGGGAGGGGCCUGCGGCCCAUCAGGUCGUUGGUGGGGUAACGGCCUACCAAGCCGAUGACGGGUAGCUGGUCUGGGAGGAUGACCAGCCAGACUGGGACUGAGACACGGCCCAGACUCCUACGGGAGGCAGCAGCAAGGAAUUUUCGGCAAUGGGCGCAAGCCUGACCGAGCAACGCCGCGUGCGGGAUGACGGCCUUCGGGUUGUAAACCGCUUUUCGGGGGGACGAUGAUGACGGUACCCCCGGAACAAGCCCCGGCUAACUCUGUGCCAGCAGCCGCGGUAAGACAGAGGGGGCGAGCGUUGUCCGGAGUCACUGGGCGUAAAGCGCGCGCAGGCGGUCGCCAAAGUGUCGUGUGAAAGCCCCCGGCUCAACCGGGGGAGGCCAUGGCAAACUCGGCGACUGGAGCGGCGGAGAGGCCCCUCGAAUUGCCGGUGUAGCGGUGAAAUGCGUAGAGAUCGGCAGGAAGACCAAGGGGGAAGCCAGGGGGCUGGCCGCUGGCUGACGCUGANGCGCGACAGCGUGGGGAGCGAACCGGAUUAGAUACCCGGGUAGUCCACGCCGUAAACAAUGACCACUCGGCGUGCGGCGACUAUUGACGUCGCGGUGCGCCUUAGCUCACGCGCUAAGUGGUCCGCCUGGGAACUACGAGCGCAAGCUUAAAACUCAAA